CAGGUGUUGCGGGCAAAUUGCUCGGUCAUGGAGACCGCGCUGGUGGUGAGCGCCUCCCAGGGCGCCGUGCGGAUCCUCUUGGGGAAGCUUGGAAACAUCCUUGCCACCAAGUACGCGCUCCUCAGCGGCGUACGUGAGGAGAUCCAGGAGCUCAAGGACGAACUGGAGAGCAUGACCGGCUGCCUCCGCGACCUGGCUGAUCGCGACGACCACAGCCAGCAGACGAGGAUCUGGAUGAAACAAGUGAGGGAGGUGGCGUUCGACGCGGAGGACUGCAUCGACAAAUUCUGCCGUCAUCUCGGCCAGCAUCCCGGAGAUGAUCCAGGACUAGCGAGCUACCUUGGCAGGAUAAUCAGCCUCCUGCGAACGAUGGGGUUGCGGGCUAAGCUGGCCGCCGAGAUCACGGGGCUUCAGUCUCGCGCCAAGGGCGUGAGCGACCGGCGGGUCAGGUACAGGCUAGAAGAUGCGGCAGGAGCUGGUCCUCGCAGCUCGAGCAAAUCGCUCCACUCCUCCGGCUACAAUCUGCGCCGCUUGCUUCCAUCUGAGCUCGGCGGCGGGUCAGGCCUCGUCGGGCUGGACGGCAGGACAAAUGAGGUGGUCGGCCUGCUGAAAUGCGGCGAGGCACCUCGCCGGGUGGUGUCCAUCGUCGGAUUCGGUGGCCUCGGCAAGACCACCCUCGCCACCGCCGUCUACAACAGCCCGGAGCUGCGCGACAUCCAGUGCCGCGCUUUCGUCGCUGUAUCCCAGACCUACGAUCUGCGGUCCCUUCUGGAAUCCCUGCUGAAGCAGCUUGUGGUUGUACCGGCGGGAACCUCUGACGAUAACCAUCCCCUCCGAGGAAUCAAAACCUGGGGCAUAACUGAAUUCCCCGAUAAGUACACAAAACACUUGACGGAUAAGAGG
rnacentral:rRNA from 1 species